GAAGAAGUUACAACACGCACUGAGAGGGGGGACCAAACUAAACUGGUGUUCACUGUACUUCUGUCAUGUUUUUAUUCGGAUAUAAAAUAAGAUUUUGUUUAUGAACAAGCUUUGAGAAGACCUGCGACUGAUUCUGAACUCUUUCGCCUCGUGUAAUGUGAUGACACAAUAUGGAUGAUCUGACCUGGAACAGAUAAGAGGUGAAGGAUCGGGAAAGCAAGAGAAGACUGAGGCAGUUUAACAUAGAGAAAGCGCUUAUCAUCGACUUACACAAGACAUCAUGUCCACCUCGAUAAGGCAGGAGAGAACUAUUUGUGUUCUCCUCCCGAACAAAGAGCAGCUGGACAUCACUGUCGGGCUGAAAUCCACAGGGCAGGAUGUUUUUAAUCGAGUGUCAGAGCUUCUUGGAAUCAAAGAGCUGCAUUUCUUCGGCCUCACAGUGGUGAAAGGUAAGC